rnacentral:lncRNA from 1 species
GUGAGUUCAAUAGAUCAUCUGUGAAGAUGGCCAAGUUUGAGAGAGGAAAAUCUGGACAGGAGAGAAAGCAUGUGUCAAAGGAGCCCAGAACGUUCCGAGAAAGGAAGUCUGCAUCCUGAUGAAUCCAAUAACUUUGGCUGGUGUUGCUUCUAAGCUGCCUGGACCAGAAAGAAGCAGCCGCUUUCCACUGAGAGCCAGAAGCCAAAAUCCGAACUGUUGUCGUGAGGUCACAAGGGUGAUCUCAUAUACGGUGCCAUCUAUUCCAUCUCAGGCCAUUCCUGUGCAGCUGCUUCGAGCUAAAACUCCUCCACGCUCCACUUCUGAUUUUCCAGGGUUUCCCUGUCUGUCAGUUUCAGCCUGCCCCCUCCUGUUAUUUUUAGAUUUGAUUUUAG